rnacentral:rRNA from 1 species
GUAGGUGGCAAGCGUUGUCCGGAAUUAUUGGGCGUAAAGCGCGCGCAGGCGGUUCUUUAAGUCUGAUGUGAAGGGCCCACGGGCUCAACCGUGGAGGGUCAUUGGAAACUGGAGAACUUGAGUACAGAAGAGGAAAGCGGAAUUCCACGUGUAGCGGUGAAAUGCGUAGAGAUGUGGAGGAACACCAGUGGCGAAGGCGGCUUUCUGGUCUGUAACUGACGCUGAGGCGCGAAAGCGUGGGGAGCAAACAGGAUUAGAUACCCUGGUAGUCCACGCCGUAAACGAUGAGUGCUAAGUGUUAGGGGGUUUCCGCCCCUUAGUGCUGCAGCUAACGCAUUAAGCACUCCGCCUGGGGAGUACGGCCGCAAGGCUG